AAAAAAAAAAAACUGAAAGAUACAAAUAAGGUAACUAUAUAAUGAACAAGCCUCUCAAUUCAACAAUAAGCUGUAAUGAUCAUAAAUUCAUAUACAUCUAAUGCUGGAGCAACCCAGUCUUGUAGAAUAUUAUUAGAUCUAAAAGGAGAGAUAAGGCUCCAGUACAAUAAUAAUGAAUGCCUUCAAAGCUCCAUUUUUGGUAAUGGACAGAUCACAAACAAGAACAUAAACAAAGAAACCUCAGAGUUAAACUAUACUGUAAACCAAGUGGGCUUAACAUUUACAGAAUGUUUCAUCCAAUAGCUGCAGAACACAUAUUUUUUAAUCAGUUCAUGUAACAUUCACUAGAAUAGAUGACAUGUUAUGCUGCAAACAAGUCUCAACAAAUUCAAAAAACUGAAAUUCAUAUCAUGUGUCUUUUCUGACCACAAUGGAAUAAAACUAGAAAUGAAUAACAAAAGAAACUUUACAAUUUACUAACAUAUGAAGACCAAACAACAUGCUAUUGAAUAAAAGUGGGUGAGCCAAGAAAUCAAAAGGGAAAUUUUAAAAUUUCACAAAGCAAAAGAAAAUAGAAAAUCAACAUAUCAAAACAUAGAGGAUAAAGCAAAAGCAGUACUAAUAGAGAAUUUUAUAGAAAUAAACACCUGCAUCAAAAAAAGUUAGAAAGAUUUCAGAUAAACAGCUUAAGAGUGAAUCUCAAAGAACUAUAGAAAAUCAAGAACAAACCAAACUCAAAAUUAGUAGACAGAAAUAACUAAGAUCAGAGCAGAAAUAAAUAAAAUAGAGACUAAGAAAAAAUGCAAAAAUCAAUGAAGAGUUAGCUUUUUGAAAAGAUAAACAAAAUCCGCCGGCGCCGCGGCUCACUAGGCUAAUCCUCCGCCUUGCGGCGCCAGCACACUGGGUUCUAGUCCCGGUCGGGGCACCGGAUUCUGUCCCGGUUGCCCCUCUUCCAGGCCAGCUCUCUGCUAUGGCCAGGGAGUGCAGUGGAGGAUGGCCCAAGUACUUGGGCCCUGCACCCCAUGGGAGACCAGGAGAAGCACCUGGCUCCUGCCAUCGGAUCAGCUCGGUGCGCCGGCCGCGGCGGCCAUUGGAGGGUGAACCAAUGGCAAAGGAAGACCUUUCUCUCUCUCUCUCUCUCUCUCUCUCUCUCUCUCACUGUCCACUCUGCCUGUCAAAAAUAAAAAAAAAAAAUCCAGGAAACUUUAAUUAGACUAACCAAUUAAGAAAAAGUAAACCCACAUAGAUAAAAUCAGAAAUGAAAAAUACCAGGGCUAGGCCAAACUGAAGCCAGGAGCCAGGCUCUCAAUCCAGGUCUUCCUUGCAGGUGGCAAAAAUUUCAUUACAACUGAUUUGACAGAAAUAUGAAGGGUCACUAGGGACUGUUAUGAGCAAGUAUAUAUCAAAAAAUGGAAAAUCUAGAAGAAAUGUAUACAUUUCUGGACAUAUUUAACCCAACAAAACUGAAUCAUGAAACAUAGAAAACCCGGCCAGCACCGUGGCUCAAUAGGCUAAUCCUCUGCCUUGCGGCACCAGCACACCGGGUUCUAGUCCCGGUCGGGGCACCGGAUUCUGUCCCGGUUGCCCCUCUUCCAGGCCAGCUCUCUGCUGUGGCCAGGGAGUGCAGUGGAGGAUGGCCCAAGUCCUUGGGCCCUGCACCCCAUGGGAGACCAGGAGAAGCACCUGGCUCCAGGCUUUGGAUUAGUGCGGUGCGCCUGCUGCAGCCCGCCGGCUGUAGUGGCCAUUGGAGGGUGAACCAACGGUAAAGGAAAACCUUUCUCUCUGUCUCUCGCUCUCUCACUGUCCACUCUGCCUGUCAAAAAAAAAAAAAAAAAGAAAGAAAAAAGAAACAUAGAAAACCCUAACAAAUCAAUAGCAAGCAAUAAACUUGAAUAAGUAAUAAUAAUAAAGUUUCCCAACAAAAAAAGCCAGUACCAGAUGGCUUCACUGCUAAAUUCUACUUUUCAUUUUUAAUUUUAUUUAUUUAUGUGAGAUACAGAGACAGAGAGAUAGAGACACAUAGAUAAGGGAAGGGAGAGAGAGAAAGAGGAACUCACAUGAACUGAUUCAUUUUGCAUGUGCCUACAAUAGUAGGGCUGGGCUGGCCUGAGGUGAGGUGCUUGGAACUCCAUCCAGAUCUCCCAUGUGGGUCACAGGAACUCAAUUUCUUGUGUCUUCACCACUGCCUUUGAGAGUCUGCUCUAACAGGAAGUGGGAUCAGGAGCCGGAGUGGAAUAUCAAACCCAGAUACUCCAAAAUGGGACAUGGGCAUCUUAUAUGGCCUCUAAACCGUGAAGCUAAAUGCUCACCCUUGGAAUCUACCAAAAUUUCAAAGACCUCAUACCUCUCCUUCUUAAACUAUUCCCAAAAAUUGAAAGGGGAAGAUCUCUUCUUUUUUUUUUUUUUUUUUUUUUUUGACAGGCAGAGUGGACAGUGAGAGAGAGAGACAGAGAGAAAGGUCUUCCUUUUGCCGUUGGUUCACCCUCCAAUGGCCGCCGCGGCCGGCGCGCUGCGGCCGGCGCACCGCGCUGAUCCGAUGGCAGGAGCCAGGAGCCAGGUGCUUUUCCUGGUCUCCCAUGGGGUGCAGGGCCCAAGCACCUGGGCCAUCCUCCACUGCACUCCCUGGCCACAGCAGAGGGCUGGCCUGGAAGAGGGGCAACCGGGACAGAAUCCGGCGCCCCGACCGGGACUAGAACCCGGUGUGCCGGCGCCGCUAGGCGGAGGAUUAGCCUAGUGAGCCGCGGCGCCGGCCGGGAAGAUCUCUUCUUAAUUCAUUCUGCAAAGCCAGCAUAGCACUGAUAGCAAAAUCAGACAAGGGCACAACAGAACAACUAUAGAUGAAUAUCUCUAACAUAGAUGCAAAAAUUCUCAACACAAUACUUGCAAAUCAAAUCCAACAAUAGACCAGAAUAUCAUUCAUCAUGAUCAAAUGGGAUUUACCCCAUGGACCUGAAGAUGGUUCAACCUACAAAAAAAUCAGUGUAACACAUCACAUCAACAAAAUGAUGGAUAAAAAUCGUGAUCAUCUCAGUGGAUACAGAAAAAGCACUUGCUAAAAUUCAGUAUCCCUUCAAGAUAAAAUAAAAAUCUGAAAAACUAUGUCUAGAUGGAAUAUACCUGAGUAAAAUAAAGGCUAUAUAUUACAAACCCAGUAUCAACAUACUACUGAAUGUGGAAAGACUGAAAACAUUUUCUCUAAGAUCUGGAACAAGACAAGGAUGUCCACUUUGACCUCUCACAGUCUAGUACCAGAAGUUUUAGCUAUAGCAAUGAGGCUAGAGAAAGAAAUACAAGGCAUACAAAUAGAAAGUGUGAAAGUCAAAUUAUCCCUAUGCCUGAUUCUAUAUAGAAGAAAACCUAGACUCCACCAUUAUAUUAUUAAAACUGACAAGCAAAUUCAGUAAAGUUACAGGACACUAAAGCAGCAUACAAAAAUGAUAGCAUUUCUACUAAUAAAGAUCUUGCAGAGAAAGAAAUCAUGAAAGCAAUUCCAUUCCCACUUCUGCCUAUAUAUUCAAAGAAAAUGAAAUCAACAUAUCAAAGAGAUAUCUACACUCCCAUGUUUGUUGCAACACUAUUCACAGUAGACAAGAUAGGCAGUGAACCAAAGUGCCCAUUAGCGGAUGCUUGGAUAAAGAAAAUGAGGUAUAAGUACACAAUGGUAUAUUAUUCAGCCAUAAAAAAUGAUAUCCUGCCAUUUACAGCAAAAUGGAUGGAACUAGAGGAUAUUAAGUUAAAUAAGCUAGACACAGAAAGAGAGAUACUGCAUGCUCUUUCUGAUCUGUAUAAGAUCUUUCAAAAUGUCAAUUUGCAUGUAGAUUAGCGAUUACUAGAAUCUGAGAAGGAAAGGGGAAAGAAAAUAGGGGAAGUACAAUGACAUGUACCAAACACAGCUGAUAAAAUGAAUAAAUUCUAAUGCUCCACAACACAGUGGGUGCCUAGUUCACAAUAAUCAAUUAAAAAAAACACACACACACACAAAAUAACUCAAAAGAGAAAGUAGAGACUUUGAUUUAGAAAAGAUCAGUAGGGGCCAAUGCUGUGGUUCAGUGGGUUAAAGCUCCAGUCUGUAGCGCCAGCAUCCCAUAUGGGUGCUGGUUCAGGCCUGGAUGCUCCACUUCCAAUCCAGCUCUCUGCUGUGGCCUGGGAAAGCAGUGGAGAUGGCUCAAGUGCUUGGGCCUCUGCACCCACAUGGGAGACCUGGAAGAAGCUCCAAGUUCCUGGCUUUGGAUCAGCUCAGCUCUGGUUGUUGCAGCCAUUUGGUGAGUGAGCCAGUGAAUGGAAGACCUCUCUGUCUCUGCCUCUCUGUAAUUCUGCCUUUCAAAUAAAUAAGUAAAUCCUUAAAAAAAAUCAAUAGCCAUUGAACUCAUUUUGUAAAUGACAAAAUUGAGUCCUAAAGAGAUUAAGUGAUUGGCUGGAAUUCACAAAUCAAUACGAGAGCUAGAUUAAACACCUCAAACUCCCAUUUCUAGUGCUUUCUCCGCCCAACUGUUCCCUGACCGAUUUUUUUAAAAAUAUCCCAUCUAGUCUCAAAGAACUGGGGUUUCUCAUUUAAAAGAACUAUCUGGAGUUAGAUCAAAAACAUUCUGAAGAGUGGACAGCAUAUCAAAGUGAAUUGUUAAUGUCCCAAAUGGCCUAUCUGGAAGGAGGUAGUAUGUUCAGUUUUUGUGAGUACUGCUAAGUUUACUUCAAAAUCUGUGUUUUCCUUUACUGUCAAUGCUACAGAACUAUUUCCCAAAUAUAUAUAAAAGCUUUAAAAUAGUUUAUUAUCUGAGUCUUCUCUGUUGGUAAAUGUAUUUGAGUUUAAGGAAAUAAUUUUUCAGUUAAUUUUAAAUGCCUAAGAAUAGUUGUGUGUUAAUUAAAGUGUUCAACCAAUGGUAUUAAGUAGAACAAAAAAAUACUAAAAGGAAUAAAGUAGUAAGUUGUUCCUCAACAGUCAGGACAAGGGCUGAUCAAGUCACUGUUUCUCAUAGUGCCCAUUUCACUUCAACAGGUUUCCUGUUUGGUGCUCGGUUAGUUGUCACUGAUCAGGGAGAACAUAUGACAUUUGUCCCUUUGGGAUUGGCUUAUUUCACUCAACAUGGUGUUUUCCAGAUUCCUCCAUUUUGUUGCAAAUGACCAGAUUUCAUUGUUUUUUUUACUACUGUAUAGUAUUCUAAAGAUUUGUUUGUUUAUUUGAAAGAGUAACACAGAGAGGAGAGGCAGAGAGAGGUCUUCCAUCCGUUGGUUCACUCCCCCAUUGGCUGCAAUGGCUGGAGCUGCACCAAUCCAAAGCCAGGAGCCAGGAGCUUCCUCCAGUUCUCCCGUGUGGGUGCAGGGGCCCCAGGACUUGGGCCAUCUUCUACUGCUUUCCCAAGCCAUAGCAGAGAGCUGGAUUGGAAGUGGAGCAGCCGGGUCCCGAACCGGUGCCCAUAUGGGAUGCUGGUGCUUCAGGCCAGGACUUUAGCCCGCUGCGCCACAGUGCCGGCCUCUUACUGCUGUAUAGUAUUCUAUAGAGUACAUAUCCCAUAAUUUCUUUAUCCAGUCUUCUGUUGAUUGGCAUUUAGGUUGAUUCCAUGUCUUAGCUAUUGUGAAUUGAGCUGCAAUAAACAUUGAGGUGCAGACAGCUCUUUUAUUUGCCAAUUUAAUUUCCUUUGGGUAAAUUCCAAGAAUGGGAUGGCUAGGUUGUAUGGUAGGAUUAUACUCAGGUUUCUGAGGAAUCUCUAAACUGUCUUCCAUAGUAGCUUUACCAGUUUUCAUUCCCACCAACAGUGGAUUAGUGUCCCUUUUUCCUCCUUGCCAGCACCUGUUCUUAAUUGAUUGAUGUAUAUAAGCCAUUCUAACCGGGGUGAGGUGACACCUCAUUGUGGUUUUGAUUUGCGUUUCCCUGAUUGCUAGUGAUCUUGAACAUUUUUUCAUGUGUCUGUUGGCCAUUUGGAUUUCCUCUUUUGAAAAAUGUCUAUUGAGGUCCUUGGCCCAUCUCUUAAGUGGGUUGUUUGUUUUGUUAGUGUGGUGUUUCUUGAUCUCUUUGUAGAUUCUGGUUAUUAAACCUUUAUCAGUUGCAUAGUUUGCAAAUAUUUUUUCCCAUUCUGUCGGUUGCCUCUUCACUUUCCUGACUGUUUCUUUUGCAGUACAGAAACUUCUCAAUUUGAUGUAAUCCCAAUUGUUAAUUUUGGCUUUGACUGCCUGUGCCUCCAGGGUCUUUUCCAGGAAGUCUUUGCUGGUGCCAAUAUCUUGCAGGGUUUCUCCAAUGCUAAUAAUUUGAUGGGGUUGGGUCAUAGAUUUAGAUCUUUAAUCCAUGUUGAGUGGAUUUUUGUGUAAGUUGUAAGGUAGGGGUCUUGCUUCAUGCUUCUGCAUGUGGAAAUCCAGUUUUCCCAGAACCAUUUGUUGAAUAGAAUGUAUGAUGCUAGUUUUGUUCCACGAUUUUUUAAAUUUAUUUUUUUGAAAGAGUUGCGGGGGUUGGGAGGAGAGGAGAGAGAGAUCUUCCAUCUACUAGUUCACUCCCACAAUGGGCCAGUCCGAAGCCAGACCCUCUUCUGGUUCUCCCACAUGGGUCACAGGGGCCCAAGCACAUGGGCAAUCUUCUACUGCUUUCCCAGGCCAUAGCAGAGAGCUGGAUUGGAAGUGGAGCAGCCAGGACAUGAACCGGCACCCAUAUGGAUGCCGGCACUGCAAGGAGCAGCUUUACCGGCUAUGCCACAGUGCCAGAAACCCAUGAUCUUUUAUGAAAAUUAAAGCAUUGAGAGAUGAAGCCAUUUGCCCACAAAAUGGCACCACAUACAAUCCAUACACAUCCAAUCCUGGAGGGAAGAUUAUGCUGAUUCCUAAAUAGCAUCAAACAAGCAGAUUCCAGCUUCCAGAUUUAUAGUUCAUUUCCACGUUCUAUCCCUAUAACAAGAAAAUGCCCUGACUCACAACUUUCCGUACCCAAAGCUCGCUCAGUAUCAGUCCUAUUCACACUCUGUAGGCAGACAGCAAACCAAAUGAGAUGCAAAUGCAUCUUAUUUCCAAGCUGAAGAUUGGUGCCGAUUAAAUGGCAAUCCCGUUGUCAGCACCUGGUAAUAAGAACUCUCACACAAACAAAUGCAAUGUUCUCAGCUAUACAAGCGUUUAUAGACAAAAUGAGACUCUAAAGAAAAUACACAGGGCUAGCACUGUGGCAUAACAGCCCACCCAUGUGGGAGACUCAGAAAAAGCCCCUGGCUCCUGGCUUUGGAUCAGCGCAGCUCUAGCUGUUGCAGCCAAUUUGGGAAAUGAACCAGCAGAUGGAAGUUCUCUCUCUCUCUCUUUCUCUCUCUCUGCCUCUUGUUCUCUCUCUGUGUAACUCUGACUUUCAAAUAAAUAAAUAAAUCUUUAAAAAUAAAAAUACACAGUCUCCCUCACACCAAAAAAAGGAUGUCAAAUAUUUUUCUAUGGAUUUUAUUAGUAUAGACUUCCAUGAAAUAGAAUCCAAAACAGUUCCAUGAACAACUUUUAACAGCUUAUGUAUGAAGCAGGGACCUCAUAUGAUAACUAUGAAAUAAAGGAGGACACAAUCAACAUACUAUUCAAGUGAACACAAUUGGAAGAUUCGCAUUAAGAAAACCGCAGUUCCAACUACUACUCUAACACACUUGAGUUAAGGUCUGUCUUGUUUCUACAAACUGGCUGUCACAACAAUUUGUCUUUGUAAUUUGUAUUAAACUAAGAAAACAGAUUUGUAAAUAGUUGAUAGGCAAAUGUCAUACUAAAGCUUCUGGUUUCACCCUACCAUUCUUGACAGGAACACACACACACACACAGACACACACACAUUUUCAGUUGACUGAUUCUCCAGGAGACAACUCAGUGAUGAAAGCAAGUUUAACAACAGUGUCAGUGAAUGUUCCAGACUUCUAGAAUUAGAUCUCCAUUUGCUUUAAAAUAUUGUACUGAGACUUACUGGGAACAUGAGUAAGAAAAGAAUAUUGUUGUUGAAGUUCUUGGACUAAAUUUUUCUUAGUUUAAGGCCCGACUAAUUGACAUUGAUCAUUAUCACUAAAGAGAAAUGGUACUACAGAUUAACGUGACCUCUUGUCUCAAAAAAAGAAGACAAAAGAAAAUACAAAGACAAAAGAAGAUACAAAAAACUAUUAUAAAUAGAUUAUGCCUUAAAAAAGCAAUAGUGAACAAUUCCUGGAUGUUUAAUAUAUACCUGGUACAAUUCAAAAUGCUUCACGUAUGGUAGCUUGUUAAUUCUUACAGCAUCUCCACAAAGUGAGCAUUAUUAUCAUAUCCAUUUUGUGAAUGGAAAACUGAAGUACAUGAAGGGGUGAUUUUCCCAGGAUCCCACAUGAGCCGUGAAGUCCCGGUCCAGACCCAGGCCUCUGGCCCCAGAGGCUGUCCUUGUGAUUGGCAUGUUGUCCCUUCACUAAAACAAGACACUUGUGCACUCUGGACCUUGAAGAGACAGCCCAUUAACUGCCUUCUCUGGGCAUUUAGAUUUGAUAAGCAUCUCUAUUCAGCUAUAAUCUCUUCACUUUUGUUUUUCAGAAAAGAAUAACGAGAAAAUUAAUUCAGUUGGUACAUUGCAUUAAGAGGUUUUUUAAAAAGCAAUUUUACUAGGUAAUGGAUGUAAAAUAAUAAAAAUGUUUAUCAAUUUGAUUAAUUUGAUUACACAUUAAAAGCAAGGGACUUUUAACCACAAAUGCCCCUUUGUUGGGCUUUGGGUUUUUGUUUCCCUGCACUAUCUGGCCUCUUCUCACCAUGCUCCCUUCUUCUGCAGGCAAACCCUGUCCUCAUGUACCUUGAGUCUCAGGGCCACCUCCCCCAUUAUAGUAGCCCUUCCACUGUCAUUCAUUUGACUGAUUUCAUUGAGGGUCAAUAUAUUCAUGAUGGCCUUUACAUCAGACAACAGUGGUCCUUCUUUCAUUCAAUAACCAUCAUGUUACCACUCCAAACAGUAACCCUUUCCCAUGCACCAGGCACCACCUCAAGCACCAUAGGGAAUACAGAGAUGAGAUGGAGCCAGAUCCUGCUUUCAUGGGGCUUGUGGUAUAGGCACACAGGUGACCUAAACAUAAAUCAGUUGAACACAGCACAGGAGGGGCUAAGUGCCACCACACAGAGGUCUCCUAAAUAGGCCAGGAAUGAUUCAAGGGCAAGGGGAGACUAGGGAAGGCUCCACUGCAAACCUUGGUCCUUGAGAGCAGAGAAGAGUUGAAGUCCAGAAAUAGGAACAAGGGGCCACUAUAAGCAUGCAGUGUACGUGUUGAAUAGAGCUGGAGGCUGUGAGAAUUAGAAACCAAGGGACUGUUGUGCUAAAAACUGCCUGAGAAGGACACUGACAUGCUAGGCUAGCAGGAAGGGCUAUCCUAUGGUCAGGGCCAGCUUAAAAGGCUCUGGAUAAGGGAGUGAUGUGACCAGAAACACCAAGCUGUGUGUACAACAGGGAAUGGAAGAGGCAACUGGAAAGGACACGAUAGAGGCCUGGGCUGGAUAGGGACUGCGUAAUGGGUCUUCCUUGUCUCAUCUGGCACCAGCGGCCAACACGGAAGUAGCUCAAAAAGUGAUCUUAGGAAAAGCAGUACUCUUGAGUCACUGCACAUGAGGUAUACUGAUCAUUUUACCUCAUUAGCCAUUUCGAGUCCCCAUUUGGACAGUGUGUGUGGUAGGGUUGAAAGGCAAGGGGACAGGAAAGGAAAAGUAAUGUAGAGUCGUCCCCUCUUACCUGUGAGGGACGCAUUCCAAGACCCACAGUGCAUGCCUGAAAUCACAGACAGUACCGCACCCUAUAUGUAGUGUUCUUUCCUAUACUUACACCUCCAUGAUGAAGUGUACUUUAGAAAUUAGGCACAGUAAGAGAUGAUAACUAAGAAUGAAAUAGAGCAGUGAUAACAGUGCACUACAGUAAGGUUAUGGGACUGUGGUCUGUGUCACACAGAAUCUUACAGUACUGGACUCGUCCUUAGGAGGCUGUGAAUGCUACGGGGCUACGUGAUGAGAUGAAGCAAGGCCCAUUGCUUUCUGGCACAACAUAUUAUCAUCCAAACACAUUUUCUGUGUGUCUCUAAUCCACAAGUUUAAUGCCUUUUCCAUCUAAACUAAGCAUGUACAUUUUAUGACUGUAAUUUUUACAUUUUGAAGUGUAGCUGUAAAAUUAGCAUAGAUUUUUUUUUGCCAUCUUCACAACUUCACAGUGGAUUUGUUCUUGUGGUAAAUCUUAGCAACUGCCACAUAGGGGCUUUUAUCUCUCUUUAAGUUGAGAACUUUCACCUUUUCUCUCAAAGGAGGCAUUUGACACCAUCUCUUCAGCAUAUGUAAACACCAGAAUCAUGGCUCUUGUGCUUUGGGGCCAUUAUUAAACUAAAGGGGCUACUUGACCAAACAACUGUGAUAGCCAACAGUCAAUCUGAUAACCAAGAUGAUGACUAAGUGACUUGAGGGUGGGUAGAGUACUUAAUGUGGACACGUUGGAUACAAAAAUGAUUCGUGUCCUGGGUAGGGCACAGUGGGAUUGUGAGAAAUUUCGUAACACUACUCAAAUGGUGCACGAUUUAAAACUCAGGAGGGGCCGGCACCAUGGCUCACUUUGUUAAUCCUCCGCCUGCGUUGCCGGCAUCCCAUAUGGGAGCCGGAUUCUAGUCCCGGUUGCUCCUCUUCCAGUCCAGCUCUCAGCUGUGGCCCAGGAAGGCAGUGGAGGAUGGCCCAAGUGCUUGGGCCCCUGCACCCACAUGGGAGACCAGGAGGAAGCACCUGGCACCUGGCUUCGGAUUGGCGCAGUGCUGGCCGUAGUGGCCAUUUGGGGAGUAAACCAACGUAAGGAAGACCUUUCUCUUUGUCCCUCUCUCACUGUCUAUAACUCUACCUGUCAAAUAAAUAAAAAAAAAAACUCAGGAAUUGUUUAUUUACAGAAUUUAAUAUUUUUGGACUGUGGUUGACCACAAACAACUGAGAUCAUGGGGAAUAAAACCAUGGAUGUGGGAACUUCUUCAUCAAGCACUCCUGAGAAGCUCAAGCCCAGUAAAGUGACAUUAAAAUACACACAAAAAGAUAACAGAGUCAGUUGAAUUGCCAAUUGUUCUUUCCACAAAUAAUUGCUUCAAAAUAAUUCAUUGAGUAAAUGAAUUAAUCAAUUAAGUGAAACAUUAUAGGUAUAUUUAGAAUCGCUUCCUUUUAGGCAGCCCUACAUCUUAUAACUGUGAGAAAAUUAUCCAUGAAAGUACUGCAUAGUAAUUAGUUAUCACCAAAAAUGAAAAGUUUAUAUCUGUUAGGGUGUGUUUCAUUACAAGUAAUAGAAUUGCUGAAGAACUAUGUCUUAAACAAGCAGGUUUAUUUGGCUUGUGUAAAAUAAAUGCAGACAUGAAUAAGCCAGGACUGUUCAAUGACUAAAUGGUAUCAUCAGGGAUCCAAUAUCCUUAUAUUUUAGUGUUCUGCUGUCUUUAAUUUUUCUCAUGGUGACAAAAUGGCUGUUGCUGCUGCAGUGAUCAAAUCCUUAUUCCACAUAGUAAAGAGGUGUUAGGGCAAAGGGCUAGCAAGCCACAGCUACUGUCCUUCAAUAGGAAAGCAAAAAAGCUUUCCCAUAAACCCCCUCAUCCUCCCUCAUUGAGUUGCACUUAGGACUUGUUGGUUGGAAUGGAGACACCUGUUUCCCCUUCCUUCAAGGAAAGCUGCAAAAUGGAGUGCAUAGAGCCCCUGGCUUACAGUGACUCAGCCUGUGGUUUUUCAGCUUUACAGUGGGGUGAACACAGUAUGCAUUCUGUACAGUAUGAAACUGUACUUUGAAUUAUGAAUGUUGAUCUUUUCCUGUAUGAUACUCUCGCAUGUUGCUGGGCAGUGAGAGUGAGCCACAGCUCCCAUCCACAUGCUCACAAAGGCAAACAGUCAGUGCUCUCCAGUGCUCUGUGCUGCUAAGCUAAACUCUGAUGUUUGCUCAGUUAUGUGUGUUCAAUGCAGUUUUGACUUAGGCAUUUUCAGUUUAUGAUGCGUUUGUCAGGAUGCAGCCCCAUCGUAAGUCGAGGAGCAUCUAUAUUCUAGCUUCCCAGUCUCUGAUGUGGAAGGCAAAGGAGCAAAGAGCUAGAAUAAGGAGAGUAACUCAUCUACAAAAACACUACAAGGUGUUGGAGUUUUUUUAAUGCACUUUUUCUGUUUAAAAAGAUAUGCUGAAAUAGUAAUUCCAUCAAAAAAAUGGGUAAGCUAGGGAGUGUGCUUAAUAAUAAUAGUGGCUUUCCCAAAAGCAUCCUUAAUAUGCAAAGCUCUUGGUUCACUUUAUUCUCAUAUCUACUUCUCACAACAGUCUAUUAAGGUUAUUCAAGGAAAUGGAGACUCAGAGAGACUCAAGAACAGGUUGUAAAUCUCAGAGCCAAUAAAUAAGAGAACAGGGGCCUGAACUAAGUCUUAUCUCACAGGGUUCUGUUUAUAACAGAGGAUGGAGCCAACACCUGUGUCCCAGUAGAUUGUUAGCUCCCUGCCCAAAACAUUCAGAAAAGAUGUUGAUAAUGCCAUCUGUCUUUUUUUUUAAGAUUUAUGCAUUUAUAUGAAAUGUAGAGUUAUAUAGAGAGAGAUCUUCCAUCCGCUGGUUCACUCCUCGGGUGGCUGCAAUAGCCAGAGCUGGGCCAGGCCCAAACCAGGAGCCAGAAGCUUCAGCCAGGUCUCCCACACUGGUAUAAGCAUUUGGGCCCUAUUCAGCUGCUUUCCCAGAUGCAUUAGCAAGGAGCUGGAUCAGAAGUGGAGUAGCCAGGAAUCAAACCGGUGCCUAUAUGGCACAGGAGGCAGCUUAAACCACUACACCACAACACUGGCACGAGUAAUGCCAUAUUAAUGUGACCAGCAAGAUGUCGAAUGGGAAGUAGUGAUAUCUUUUGAAAGGUAAAAUGAGUAUUUUGAAGGGAAAAGCAAGGGGGAAGUUUUUGUAAGACAAACAAGGAAGCAAAGGAAAAUUUAACUGGAAACUGUUAGCAUUUGACUUAUUUUGGUGUAUUCUGCUGGAAAAUACCAAAUUACAUAUCUAUAAGCUGAAUGGUGGCUUCUGAUUUGUUAGCCAUUAGUUUCAUGUUUUUUAGUAUAGGAAUUUUUAAGAAGUGGCCCAGGUUACAUUUUGCCUAUGUUUGCAAAUCAAACAAGAUUAAGGUCACUUAAGAAGCUUGUCUUUAUCUGCUCAGUGAUUCUUCUUAUUAUUUGUUAAAGAUUUAUUUAUUUAUUUAUUUGGAAGUCAUGGUUACAGAGAGAGAGGGAGAGACAGUGAAAGAGAUCUUCCAUCCCCUGGUUCACUUGAUUCACUCCCCAGGUGGUCACAAUUGCCAGGGCUGGGCCAGACUGAAGCCAGGAGUACAGGAGCCCAAGUACCUGGGCCGCCUUCUGCUGCUUUCCAAGGCCCUUAUAGAGAGCUGGAUGGGAAGUGGAGCAGCAGGGACUUAAGCUGGUGCCCAUAUGGGAUGCUGGUGUCACAGGUAGCGGCGUUACCUGCUACGCCACAGGGCUGGCCCCUAGUGAUUCUUCAGACGUGAUCUUCUGUUUAAAUUUAGUUUACCAUAUCUAAUUAUUAUUAUCACAAAAUGAGAAAUCUAAUUCUAGGAGAAGUGGGGAAGAAUUCAUAUAUGAUAGCAAUUGUUCUGCCAGGUGCUUUACAGAUUUUUACCUUCUUCAGUCACUCACUAUUCUAAAGUAGGUAUUAAGAUUAUUUGCUGCCUUAUAUAACCACGUGUUUCUACUAAGGUUACCUCAUUUCUGGUAAAAACAGUGUUGCUCUCCGUUCUCAGAUAAAUCCCAAACUAUCAAACCUGACCUUUCCCCACCCACUCCAUGUCCCCCUCUGGCACUCUUUCUUCCCCGUCUUUCCUGCUUUCACCGUCAGACCUAGCUGCUGCUGUCUUCUCUCCUCUGGGUCCCCAUUUGUCAUUUUGCCUCCCACUCAGCUAGCGUCUGGAAGGCUCUUACCCAGCCCCCUCCCCAAAGGCAGUGCCUCCACCCAGUCUAACCUGACCCAGCAAGUGGGGCACAGACAGAUGUGUCCACACGUCCCCACUCUGAAUGGGAUGCGUAGAAAGGGAAGGGAAGGAGGUAAGGUUUCCUCAGUACAUCAGACCAUUAAUAUAAUUGAACAGUGUACAAAGACUACAAGACAAAGUUGUACCUACUUUCUCCAUGAUAACUCCAGUGGGACUGGAUGAACUCAAAACACUCUGGGAAGAGGUUACUGAGUGCUUUCAAAAAAGUAACCAGGUAUCUGGCGUUUCUGAAUGAAGAGUCCAGAGAGUCACUGCCAUAACCAAGUUCACAAUUGAAAAUGAGAAUCAGUAGAAAGAAAAGAAAGAAUUGGUGCUGGCACUUUGACGUACUGGGUGAGGCCGUCGCCUGCGGCACUUGCAUACCAUAUGGGCGCUGGUUCAAGUCCCAGCUGCUCCACUUCCAAUCCAGCUCCCUGUUAGUGCACCUGGGAGAGCAGCAGAGGAUGGCCCAGGUGUUUGGGCCCCUGCACCCAUGUGGAAGGCCUGCAGGAAGCUCCUGGCUCCUGGCUUCAGACCGACCCAGCCCAGCUGGCAGUUGAGGCCAUUUAGGGGGUAAGCCAACAGAUGGAAGACCUGUCUCUCUGUCUCUCUCUCUCUCUCUCUCUCUCUACCUCUCUCUCUCUCUCGCCUGUCUCCCUCUUUCUGUAACUCUGCCUUUCAAAUAAAAUAAACAAAUCUUUACAAAAAAAAAAAAAAA